rnacentral:rRNA from 1 species
UACGUAGGGUGCAAGCGUUUAAUCGGAAUUACUGGGCGUAAAGCGUGCGCAGGCGGCUUUGCAAGACAGAUGUGAAAUCCCCGGGCUCAACCUGGGAACUGCAUUUGUGACUGCAUGGCUAGAGUGCGGCAGAGGGGGAUGGAAUUCCGCGUGUAGCAGUGAAAUGCGUAGAUAUGCGGAGGAACACCGAUGGCGAAGGCAAUCCCCUGGGCCUGCACUGACGCUCAUGCACGAAAGCGUGGGGGAGCAAACAGGA